ACAUCGGUAUCACAGUGGUUAGUGCAGUCUGAACAGAAAGACGCGGGUUCAAUUCCCGUCCGAUGUC
rnacentral:tRNA from 1 species